rnacentral:rRNA from 1 species
CUGAUUUGAAGAGCUUGCUCAGAUAUGACGAUGGACAUUGCAAAGAGUGGCGAACGGGUGAGUAACACGUGGGAAACCUACCUCUUAGCAGGGGAUAACACUUGGAAACAAGUGCUAAUACCGUAUAACACUAAUAACCGCAUGGUUAUUAGUUAAAAGAUGGUCUUGCUAUCACUAAGAGAUGGUCCCGCGGUGUAUUAGCUAGUUGGUAAGGUAAUGGCUUACCAAGGCAAUGAUACAUAGCCGAGUUGAGAGACUGAUCGGCCACAAUGGGACUGAGACACGGCCCAUACUCCUACGGGAGGCAGCAGUAGGGAAUCUUCCACAAUGGACGAAAGUCUGAUGGAGCAACGCCGCGUGUGUGAUGAAGGGUUUCGGCUCGUAAAACACUGUUGUAAGAGAAGAAUGACAUUGAGAGUAACUGUUCAGUGUGUGACGGUAUCUUACCAGAAAGGAACGGCUAAAUACGUGCCAGCAGCCGCGGUAAUACGUAUGUUCCAAGCGUUAUCCGGAUUUAUUGGGCGUAAAGCGAGCGCAGACGGUUAUUUAAGUCCGAAGUGAAAGCCCACAGCUUAACUGUGGAAGUGCUUUGGAAACUGGAUAACUUGAGUGCAGUAGAGGAGAGUGGAACUCCAUGUGUAGCGGUGAAAUGCGUAGAUAUAUGGAAGAACACCAGUGGCGAAGGCGGCUCUCUGGACUGUAACUGACGUUGAGGCUCGAAAGUGUGGGUAGCAAACAGGAUUAGAUACCCUGGUAGUCCACACCGUAAACGAUGAGUGCUAGAUGUUUGAGGGUUUCCGCCCUUAAGUGUCGCAGCUAACGCAUUAAGCACUCCGCCUGGGGAGUACGACCGCAAGGUUGAAACUCAAAGGAAUUGACGGGGACCCGCACAAGCGGUGGAGCAUGUGGUUUAAUUCGAAGCAACGCGAAGAACCUUACCAGGUCUUGACAUCCUUUGACCACUUCAGAGAUGAAGCUUUCCCUUCGGGGACAAAGUGACAGG